rnacentral:rRNA from 1 species
AUUGAACGCUGGCGGCAUGCCUUACACAUGCAAGUCGAACGGCAGCACGGGGCAACCUGGUGGCGAGUGGCGAACGGGUGAGUAAUGCAUCGGAACGUACCUUUCAGUGGGGGAUAACGUAGCGAAAGUUACGCUAAUACCGCAUAUUCUGUGAGCAGGAAAGCAGGGGAUCGCAAGACCUUUCGCUGAUUGAGCGGCCGGUGUCGGAUUAGCUAGUUGGUGAGGUAAGGGCGCACCAAGGCGACGCUCAGUAGAGGGUCCGAGAGGAUGAUCCGCCAAACUGGAACGGAACCGAGGGCCAGACUCCUACGGGAGGCAGCAGUGGGGAAUUUUGGACAAUGGGGGCAACCCUAAUCCAGCCAUGCCGCGUGAGUGAAGAAGGCCUUCGGGUUGUAAAGCUCUUUCGGCCGGGAAGAAAUCGCACGGGCUAAUACCCUGUGUGGAUGACGGUACCGGAAUAAGAAGCACCGGCUAACUACGUGCCAGCCGCCGCAGUAAUAC